UGUGGGAGCGAGCCUGCUCGCGAUAGCGAUCUGUCAGCCACCAUUACUUCGACUGAUCCACCGCUAUCGCGAGCAGGCUCGCUCCCACA
rnacentral:misc_RNA from 1 species